AGCGGAUUGGUGUAAUGGUAGCACAUCAGACUCUGACUCUGCUAGUACAGGUUCGAAUCCUGUAUCCGUUG
rnacentral:tRNA from 1 species